rnacentral:rRNA from 1 species
CCUACGGGUGGCAGCGGUAGGGAAUCUUCCACAAUGGGCGAAAGCCUGAUGGAGCAACGCCGCGUGGGUGAAGAAGGUCUUCGGAUCGUAAAACCCUGUUGUUAGAGAAGAAAGUGCGCGAGAGUAACUGAUUACGUUCUGACGGUAUCUAACCAGAAAGCGACGGCUAACUAUGUGCCAGCAGCCGCGGUAAUACGUAGGUGGCAAGCGUUAUCCGGAUUUAUUGGGCGUAAAGGGGACGUAGGCGGUCUUUUAAGUCUGAUGUUAAAACCCUCGGCUUAACCGGCGUCGUGCAUUGGAAACUAGGAAACUUGAGUUAAGAAGAGGGGAGUGGAACUCCAUGUGUAGCGGUGAAAUGCGUAGAUAUAUGGAAGAACACCAGUGGCGAAAGCGGCUCUCUGGUCUGUAACUGACGCUGAGGUUCGAAAGCGUGGGUAGCAAACAGGAUUAGAUACCCGGGUAGUC